rnacentral:rRNA from 1 species
GAUGAACGCUGGCGGCGUGCCUAAUACAUGCAAGUCGAGCGAACAGACGAGGAGCUUGCUCCUCUGAUGUUAGCGGCGGACGGGUGAGUAACACGUGGAUAACCUACCUAUAAGACUGGGAUAACUUCGGGAAACCGGAGCUAAUACCGGAUAACAUGUUGAACCGCAUGGUUCAACAGUGAAAGACGGUCUUGCUGUCACUUAUAGAUGGAUCCGCGCCGCAUUAGCUAGUUGGUAAGGUAACGGCUUACCAAGGCAACGAUGCGUAGCCGACCUGAGAGGGUGAUCGUCCACACUGGAACUGAGACACGGUCCAGACUCCUACGGGAGGCAGCAGUAGGGAAUCUUCCGCAAUGGGCGAAAGCCUGACGGAGCAACGCCGCGUGAGUGAAGAAGGUCUUCGGAUCGUAAAACUCUGUUAUUAGGGAAGAACAAAUGUGUAAGUAACUAUGCACGUCUUGACGGUACCUAAUCAGAAAGCCACGGCUAACUACGUG